rnacentral:rRNA from 1 species
CUGGCGGCAGGCUUAACACAUGCAAGUCGAACGAAGUCUUCGGACUUAGUGGCAGACGGGUGAGUAACGCGUGGGAACCUACCCUUUGGUACGGAACAACAGUUGGAAACGACUGCUAAUACCGUAUGAGCCCUACGGGGGAAAGAUUUAUCGCCAAAGGAUGGGCCCGCGUUGGAUUAGCUAGUUGGUGGGGUAACUGCCUACCAAGGCGACGAUCCAUAGCUGGUCUGAGAGGAUGAUCAGCCACACUGGGACUGAGACACGGCCCAGACUCCUACGGGAGGCAGCAGUGGGGAAUAUUGGACAAUGGGGGCAACCCUGAUCCAGCCAUGCCGCGUGAGUGAUGAAGGCCCUAGGGUUGUAAAGCUCUUUCAGCGAGGAGGAUAAUGACGUUCUCGCAGAAGAAGCCCCGGCUACUUCGUGCCAGCAGCCGCGGUAUACGAGGGGGCUAG